rnacentral:rRNA from 1 species
UACGUAGGCAGCGAGCGUUGUUCGGAGUUACUGGGCGUAAAGAGUGCGUAGGCGGUUUUCUAAGUUUGGUGUGAAAUCUCCCGGCUCAACCGGGAGGGUGCGCCGAAUACUGAAUGACUUGGAGUGCGGGAGAGGAAAGUGGAAUUCCUGGUGUAGCGGUGAAAUGCGUAGAUAUCAGGAGGAACACCGGUGGUGUAGACGGCUUUCUGGACCGUAACUGACGCUGAGACACGAAAGCGUGGGUAGCAAACAGG